CAGAAGGUAGUUUAUUCAGAAUUUCAACUUUGGGAGUUGAUGGUAGGGUUUUUAGCCCUCUUUCUGA
rnacentral:tRNA from 1 species